AUUGAACGCUGGCGGCAGGCCUAACACAUGCAAGUCGAGCGGAGCGGCGGACGGGUGAGUAAUGCCUAGGAAUCUGCCUGGUCGUGGGGGAUAACGUCCGGAAACGGGCGCUAAUACCGCAUACUAUCAGAUGAGCCUAGGUCGGAUUAGCUAGUUGGUGGGGUAAAGGCCUACCAAGGCGACGAUACGUAACUGGUCUGAGAGGAUGAUCAGUCACACUGGAACGGAGACACGGGCCAGACGCCGAAGGGAGGCAGAAGUGGGGAAUAUGGGAGAAUGGGCGAAAGCCUGAUACAGCCAUGCCGCGUGUGUGAAGAAGGUCGUCGGAUUGUAAAGCACGGUAAGGUGUGAGGCGUUACCAACAGAAUAAGCACCGGCUAACUUCGUGCCAGCAGCCGCGGUAAUUC
rnacentral:rRNA from 1 species